UUGUAAAUACGUGUAUAAAAGGUCUCACUGACUAUCUCAGGCACUGUUCAGUGUUCACUCGUAAGAUAGAAGCAUUAUUAAUGCCUCUUACAGAUGAGAGAAUUGAGGUUCAGAGAGAUUUUCUAGAACAUCUCUCAGCUAGUAAAUAGUAAAUUAAGGCAUGGGUGAAGCCUCAGUUUUGUCUGACUCCAAAAUCAAGAUUUUGGCCGGGUGUGCUGGCUCACACCCGUAAUCCCAGCAUUUUGGGAGGCCAAGGCAGGUGGAUCACCUGAGGUCAGGAGUUUGAGACCAGCCUGGCUAACAUGGCAUACCCCAUCUCUAUUAAAAAUACAAAAAUUAGCUGGGCUUGGUGGCAUGCACCUGUAAUCCCAGCUACUUCGGAGACUGAGGCAGGAGAAUCACUUGAACCCAGGAGGUGGAGAUUGCAGUGAGCUGAGAUGGCGCCAUCACACUCCAGCCUGGACAAUAAGAGUGAAAUCCUGUCUCAAAAAAACAAAACAAAACAAAAAAUCAAGAUUGUAACCUUUAUCCUGCCACCCUGGCAUCAAAAUGUUAACAGUAGUUAUCACUGAGUAGUGGGAUUUUAUAGGUGGUCUCCUUUUCCUCUUUCAAACUUUUCUUCACUUUGCAGUAUUUUCUACUGAAGGCAUUAUUAAUUUUAUGUUAGAAAAAAUAUUAUCACAUUACAGAAUAUCGAGGGGAAAAGUUAUCCAACAGCACCUCAGGUUUUGUGAUCACACCCAAUAUCUAGAUGACUGCGGGAAACACACUUUUCCCCACUUUUUAAAUAAAUGCUUAAAACAGUAAAAAUCUUUACAGCAGGACUUUUGUUUUCCCCCAAGACCAAGAAAUGACUAUAUGGCAAUGAAGACAAGGACACCCUGGCAGUA
rnacentral:lncRNA from 1 species